ensembl:lncRNA NR2F1-AS1 NR2F1 antisense RNA 1
GGGAGUCGGCGACCGCUUAGUGACGAGCGAUGAUUUUAAAGAGCAGAAUAAAAGGUUUUCCCGUGCCUGCCCCACAGCCCCUCCAGCUCGAAUAAUGGAGAACUGUCAAUGCACUCCGCGAGCGGUGGCCCAUUGUACGCAGCUGAUGGCGAGGAGGCGACUGGGGGUAGCAGGGGCUCCUUGCCCUCGUCCCUAUGCCCAAAUAAACGCGCAAACGCGCUCCCGUCUUCUGGUCAGUUAAAAGGUGAAACGAACACGAUUAAAAUAGACCAAAAGAAAAGAAAGAAAAGAAAACCUUUCUAUGUACAGAUUCUAAAUCGUACUCCCCAUACAGUCAGAGGCAGGGAGUCGAGGGCAGAGGCAGCAGGCGGAGAGAGGGAGAUAGGGCGAGGGAAGGAGAACGCGGAGAGAGACGAAGGGAGUGGGAGACCAGCGACAGCGAGCGCCAGGGCACCGCAGGCACACUGGAUGCCCAGUCCGCCGGCCCAGCCGCCCUCGGACCCUGGACCGUGCGUCGUGGGCACCAGAAACGAGACUCGGCCAAAUCCUGCCUCACCAGCAGGUAGAUGAAACUCAAGAGAAAAGGUGUGGAUAAAUGAAACUAGCCCAUGAUGAACCUGUUUUCUCCGUGACCACAAUAUUAACCAGGAUGAAUGGCGGUGGCAGUGGGCCUGCAUCACAGGUUGCAGCAGAUGUUCUCAAUAUUUCUAUUAAAAUUUCCUUAUUUCCAUAUGCAAGAGGAGCCCCAGAGCUGCAUCCUUAUGGUAGCUACCAUGCCGUGAUGUAAGCUGCCAUUCACUGGGGAGCUUUGGCAAUAGAAUUGGCUAGAUCAGGAAGCCUAUGUCAACUAUGGAACAACAACUUGCAGCUCAUCUCUAUUGAUGAUGGAAUCUCGCUAUGUCACCAGGCUGGAGUGCAGUGGCGCAACCUCGGCUCAGCGCAACAUCCGCCUCCCGGGUUCAAGUGAUUCUCCUACCUCAGCCUCCUGAGUAGCUGGGAUUACAGAUACACUGCCUCUAGGACUGGGACAGAUAGCCACUGAGUACCUGCUUCAAAUCACCCUGCACGUUUUCUCUUUGGAAAGAUAAGCACUGGAGAACCAUCUCGUUACCUUCAGCAGAAAUGGAAACAAAUCAAGACAUUAAGAAUGCCGCAGUGGACAGCAGUUAUGCAAGGUUCAGCAGAGGAAGUUUUCAAGAUGGUGUGCCUCACUAGCCAGAAAUCAGAAAAGAUCGAAGCUAGCCUUUUCAUCUCAGCUGCUCCUUAAAUCAGUGCAACCCCUCCAAAUUAAUGUGAAUUGAAACUUGCAUUGCUUUUCAACUUAAUUGAAUACUUACUAUAUGUGAACCACUGCACAAAAUAGGGGAAGAAGAUGUGGGAGACAAAGAUGUGGAGCCUGUCUUCAAUAAAUUUACAGUUAGUUUCAGGGUACAUUGUUUUUCUUCUGCUGUUAAUUAGGUGUAUCCCCAAGACAAUAAAUACAUGAAUGGAAAAGUAUAUUCUGUGUUUUAAGUCUCUUUAAUAAAAAACAAAACAAAAUCCAAAAAAACUCCUAACAUGGCAACUCAGGACAUUUUAAUCCUUUUUUUUGUUGUUGGGCUUCUGAUAGGAUCCAUUUUAUUGAUUCCAUAAAUAUUUAGUAGACUUUAGACAUAUUAAUACAUUGUAGUUUGAGUUAAUUUGCAUUAAAUUCUGUUUUUUUCCCCUUAGGUAUAGAUUGUCUGUUGGAAAAAUAUAUUGCUUGUGGAUUUCUUGGGGAGUGGGAAGGUGAAUUAUACCUGUUGUCUCUACAGUCCACUACCUUCCACACCCUAGGGCAGUGGUCCCCAACCUUCUUGGCACCAGGGAUCAGUUUCCUGGAAGACAAUUUUUCUGUGGAUGGUGUGGGGAUGGUUUUGGGAUGGAACUGUUCCACCUCAGAUCAUCAGGCAUUAGUUAGGCUCUCAUAACGAGUGCGCAGCCUAGAUCCCUCACAUGCACAGUUCACAGUAGGGUUUGCGCUGCUAUGAGAAUCUAAGGCUGCCACUGAUCUGACAGGAGGCAGAACUCAGGUGGCAAUGCUUACUGGCCCACUGCUCACCUCUUGCUGUGCGGCCUGGUUCCUAAUAGGCCAUGGACCCCCACAGACGGGUACUAGUCUGCAGCCUGUGGACCCCAGCCCUAGGGGCCUGCCAUUCUGAGUGAGUUAUUAGCAUGAAGAAGAGGAAGAUCUGGAUCAAACGUGGGUGAUGGUACUCAGAGACCCAAGAUAGGAUAGGGAUGGAACAAAAUCCAUCUGGGCAACGGCUCUAUGAAAAUUUGGCUAAGUAAUUAUUUCAGUAUUCAUUGUAUUCAUUGUCCUUCGUGUUCCAUAAGUUAAAUGACUGUCUAAUUUUUCCAAAAAUUUAUUUCUGACUUGAGAAUAAGUGUGUCAUGAUUUUCCCAGUGUAAAGACACUGAUAUAACUGUAGAUACCAGACAUUUUAUGUAGUGUCUAUGACACAUUUUAGUAUGUAUGAGCCAACAAUAGACAUGUCUUUGUCUUGAGGAGUGUCCAUCUGAAUUGAAAAUGUGUCAGCUUUUUUUUAACAUCAUCAACAGACUUCUUAAUUAAGCUGCCAAUACAUACUGCCAAUAGCACUGUGUGCUGUCUGAGAAAUGCAUUGUGUAAGUGCUAUUUCCAUCUUAUUAAAUAAACAAUGUUGCUCUGUAUAAACUGGAUUUAAAGUGUUCUUUGAAUGAGGCAUUAUAUUGCUCCAUAAAUAAUGUGAUGUGAAUUCUCAUAUGAUCCCUUUUAACUUAAUUUCUAAAAAAAUAUUAUUUGCUCCUCAGUAAGGAAUAGCUCUAAUUGGACUGGUAACUUUAGUGAUAUGAUUUGUCUGUAACAGGCUGAAUCGCCCCACUCCCAAACUCCUGGUCGUGAUACUGGAUAUUUGUUAUGCCACUUUUAGUUUGCAUGAGGUAUCUUCCAGGAAGUAUUAGUUAUUAACUUGUGUUCUACUAAACUGUAGAUAUUUAUUUCCUGUUCUGGAAGAUUUCUUGGAGUGUCCAUCUGUGCAUUCCUGGUGCCUAGUGUAGUCUUGCUAAUGGAAUAGCACCUUUAUUGGUGCUACUUAGGGGUUGGUAGCUUACAAUCAAUCUACUUGGAACGUAUCCAAAUAAAC